GCGGAGGAAAAGAAACUAACAAGGAUUCCCCUAGUAACUGCGAGUGAAGCGGGAAAAGCUCAAAUUUGAAAUCUGGCAGCCAUCUGGCUGUCCGAGUUGUAAUCUAGAGAAGUGUUGCCUGUGCUGGACCAUGUACAAGUCUCCUGGAAUGGGGCAUCAUAGAGGGUGAGAAUCCCGUCYUUGACAUGGACUACCAGUGCAUCAAGGUAUGCUCUCAAAGAGUCGAGUUGUUUGGGAAUGCAGCUCAAAAUGGGUGGUAAAUGCCAUCUAAAGCUAAAUAUUGGCGAGAGACCGAUAGCGAACAAGUACCGUGAGGGAAAGAUGAAAAGAACUUUGGAAAGAGAGUUAAACAGUACGUGAAAUUGCUGAAAGGGAAACGCUUGAAGUCAGCCACGUUGGCUAGAAAUCAGCCUUGCUUUUGCUUGGUGUAUUUUCUAGCUCUACGGGUCAGCAUCAAUUUUGACCAUUGGAUAAAGUCUUUAGGAAUGUAGCAUCUUUUGGAUGUGUUAUAGCCUAUAGUCGCAUACAGUGGUUGGGAUUGAGGAACUCGGCAUGCCUUUGUGGCCAGGUCUUUUUGACCAUGCUCAUGCCUAGGAUGCUGGCAUAAUGGCUUUAAUCGACCCGUCUUGAAACACGGACCAAGGAGUCUAACAUGCCUGCGAGUGUUUGGGUGGAAAACUCAUGCGCGCAAUGAAAGUGAAAGGUUGAGAUCUCUUAUUUGGAGAGCAUUGACGCCCAGACCAGACCUUUUGUGACGGAUCUGCGGUAGAGCAUGCAUGUUGGGACCCGAAAGAUGGUGAACUAUGCCUGAAUAGGGUGAAGCCAGAGGAAACUCUGGUGGAGGCUCGUAGCGAUUCUGACGUGCAAAUCGAUCGUCAAAUUUGGGUAUAGGGGCGAAAGACUAAUCGAACCAUCUAGUAGCUGGUUCCU
rnacentral:rRNA from 1 species